rnacentral:rRNA from 1 species
GACGAAGGAUGCAAGCGUUAUCCGGAUUCAUUGGGUUUAAAGGGAGCGUAGGCGGUCUUGUAAGUCAGUGGUGAAAUCUCGCAGCUUAACUGCGAAACUGCCAUUGAUACUGCAGGACUUGAGUACAGAUGCUGUGGGCGGAAUAUGACAUGUAGUGGUGAAAUACAUAGAGAUGUCAUAGAACACCGAUUGCGAAGGCAGCUCACAAAACUGUAACUGACGCUGAGGCUCGAAAGUGUGGGGAUCAAACAGG